GAUCCUGGCUCAGGAUGAACGCUAGCUACAGGCUUAACACAUGCAAGUCGAGGGGAAACGAUAUUGGAAGCUUGCUUCCGAUAGGCGUCGACCGGCGCACGGGUGAGUAACGCGUAUCCAACCUGCCCACCACUUGGGGAUAACCUUGCGAAAGUAAGACUAAUACCCAAUGAUAUCUCUAGAAGACAUCUGAAAGAGAUUAAAGAUUUAUCGGUGAUGGAUGGGGAUGCGUCUGAUUAGCUUGUUGGCGGGGUAACGGCCCACCAAGGCGACGAUCAGUAGGGGUUCUGAGAGGAAGGUCCCCCACAUUGGAACUGAGACACGGUCCAAACUCCUACGGGAGGCAGCAGUGAGGAAUAUUGGUCAAUGGACGAGAGUCUGAACCAGCCAAGUAGCGUGCAGGAUGACGGCCCUAUGGGUUGUAAACUGCUUUUAUAAGGGAAUAAAGUGAGAGUCGUGACUCUUUUGCAUGUACCUUAUGAAUAAGGACCGGCUAAUUCCGUG
rnacentral:rRNA from 1 species